GUGCUCACUUCAGCAGCACAUAUGCCAACCUGGGAACAAUACAGAGAAGGUUAGCACGACCCCUGUGUAAGGAUGACAAGCAAAUCUGUGAAGUGUUCCAUAUUUAA
ensembl:snRNA U6 U6 spliceosomal RNA